rnacentral:lncRNA from 12 species
CAGAAGUGAAAGUGAGAAGCUGCAGAGACAACAGCUGUUACUUUUGAACAUAAAGUGUUAGAAGGAUCCUAACCAAAGUUUACUACAAUUCAGUAGCAGAUUCAUAGAAGCUAUACGUGUUACCAAAGGUCAUAGAGCAAGUUGAGAAAGUACCUAUCAUAUCUGUAUAUCUUGAGGUUAACAGUGGAUCUGCCACUAGCUGAGAGCUUCCUAUCAAUUUCAUCUAAAAUGUGAGUAAGAUAGUCUUGUUAUUGGGGUGCCUGUGUGGCACGGUCAGUUAAGCAUCUGACUCUCGGUUUCAAUGCAGGCCAUGAUCUUGG